AUAUGGUAUAACUAUGCGACUUGGUUGUUGUGGUCAUCGUUCGGGUACCCUGUGUGUCACAAUCCAGGAAAUCAUGCAACUCCCAGGCCCCACUCGGCCCCAACUAGAAAGUCAUCGUCAAGUGACACGUCAAUCAAGAUGACGCCAUGAUGAUGUUUACUCAAUCACCAAACUGGACAUAACCGGUAUAUAACCAGUCUAACUGGAAAUAACGCUUACGUGUUUUUACACAUUUUUUACCACCGCCCCCAAACUUCCCCACUUAUGCUUCAAAGUUCUUUUAUGAACAACGCAAACCCGCAAAGCGAAACAAGAAAUUGAAUAUUGAGAAGUUUAUUAUUGCCACUGUGACCAUGGACGACCUUCACGUGGUGAUAAAAGAGGUACGUGCACAACUAUUAUGGUUUUAUGUUUACAUCCAGUAGGUAUAUGUUAAAAAACUUACGGUUUUUAAGUUAAGUAUAUGUUAGAAAGGUUUUUCACGGAUUUAUUAUCAGACAUUAUGAAAAAUGCUAAAAUAAAACAUACUAACGUUUUAUUUUUAAGAAUAAAAUACUUCUAUUGUACAGAAAAUAAUGUGUGUACAAUUGUUUUGCUAAAACUCGCGCCCAAAAACAAGAUGGCGGUAGUCUUGCGCGCGCUUUUUAGGUAUAUUUUAUACCAUUGGGCUAAUUUUCAGAUCAUGUCAUCUCGUUUCGAUCUAUUUUAGUUGAAGAACAACCAAGAAGAGGGGAGGAGCAAAAUAAUGAGGAGGAGAGGUCACGCAGGCCACGAGUGUUGAAAGAAGAACAAAGAGCUCGGCAAAGACAGCGUGAGGAGCAAAGAGUGCGAAAAAGACAGACGAGCUCCGAGUACAGGUUAAGUGGUGAGCAAUAAGUCCGGAAAAAGCAAAAGGACUCGGAUUACGAACUAGAUGACGAGCAGAGAGCGACAGAGGGCAUCUAGACUCAAGAUGAAACAACAGAGGCAGCCCUCCACUACUACCGCUUUUGUUGUUCUCAAAGAUGUUUCGCAAGGUUGUCGUCUGUCAAUUACAGCAUAAAAUAAAGAAAUCGCAUAUUUACAUGACCCAAAGUUACCCAUGAACCUAUGCCGGUAUGAUAUACAUAGAUUCUAGAUGGUGUUUAUUGGUGUAUUUUAGGUGAAGCCUAACGUUUGGAAAAUAUAUAAUUUGAUACUUCUUUCAUCCUUUUUUAUAGAGAAGAACAACAACAAGAUAAAAAGAGUUGAUGCAGCUGUAGGCGGCGGCAGUGGUGGGGCCAAGCAGUUUGUCUUCCACAUAUAUUGAUUUCCAUAUUUAGGGGAGUGCUUUUGGUGCCUCCUCUAAAUAUGGAAAUUUAUUUGGUUGCGUGGUAGACACGCUGUUGUCUCUUUAUUAAUACAUGUUUGAACAUUUAUUAUUUUAUUGUCAUUCUCGUGCUCAAUUCAAUUCAUUCAUCCAUCAUAAUCAUGGGUAGUCUUCCUGGGGGAGUGGAGGGAGGUAAAUAUAUCAGUUGUUAUUGAAUACAAAAAUUCAUUAAUUUGAUACCCCUAAAGGAUAGCAGUAUCAGAAUAACCAUUAACACCCCCUGAGGGAUAGUAGUUGGGUGAAGUUUAUACCCUAAAAGAUAGAAUGAUUAUCUACACCCCAUCUACUUUUUUGGAGAGUCAAACCCCAGGGGGUGGGGGUCAUGGCAGAAAUUAGUAAUGUACCCAAGACACCAGGAUUUACUUGGAAAUGGAU